rnacentral:rRNA from 1 species
CCUGUGAUUAGUGGCGAACGGGUGAGUAACACGUGAGUAACCUGCCCCUGACUCUGGGAUAAGCGUUGGAAACGACGUCUAAUACUGGAUAUGAUCACUGGCCGCAUGGUCUGGUGGUGGAAAGAUUUUUUGGUUGGGGAUGGACUCGCGGCCUAUCAGCUUGUUGGUGAGGUAAUGGCUCACCAAGGCGACGACGGGUAGCCGGCCUGAGAGGGUGACCGGCCACACUGGGACUGAGACACGGCCCAGACUCCUACGGGAGGCAGCAGUGGGGAAUAUUGCACAAUGGGCGAAAGCCUGAUGCAGCAACGCCGCGUGAGGGAUGACGGCCUUCGGGUUGUAAACCUCUUUUAGUAGGGAAGAAGCGAAAGUGACGGUACCUGCAGAAAAAGCACCGGCUAACUACGUGCCAGCAGCCGCGGUAAUACGUAGGGUGCAAGCGUUGUCCGGAAUUAUUGGGCGUAAAGAGCUCGUAGGCGGUUUGUCGCGUCUGCUGUGAAAUCCCGAGGCUCAACCUCGGGCUUGCAGUGGGUACGGGCAGACUAGAGUGCGGUAGGGGAGAUUGGAAUUCCUGGUGUAGCGGUGGAAUGCGCAGAUAUCAGGAGGAACACCGAUGGCGAAGGCAGAUCUCUGGGCCGUAACUGACGCU